rnacentral:rRNA from 1 species
AUGAACGCUAGCUACAGGCUUAACACAUGCAAGUCGAGGGGCAGCAUGGUCUUAGCUUGCUAAGGCCGAUGGCGACCGGCGCACGGGUGAGUAACACGUAUCCAACCUGCCGUCUACUCUUGGACAGCCUUCUGAAAGGAAGAUUAAUACAAGAUGGCAUCAUGAGUCCGCAUGUUCACAUGAUUAAAGGUAUUCCGGUAGACGAUGGGGAUGCGUUCCAUUAGAUAGUAGGCGGGGUAACGGCCCACCUAGUCUUCGAUGGAUAGGGGUUCUGAGAGGAAGGUCCCCCACAUUGGAACUGAGACACGGUCCAAACUCCUACGGGAGGCAGCAGUGAGGAAUAUUGGUCAAUGGGCGAGAGCCUGAACCAGCCAAGUAGCGUGAAGGAUGACUGCCCUAUGGGUUGUAAACUUCUUUUAUAAAGGAAUAAAGUCGGGUAUGGAUACCCGUUUGCAUGUACUUUAUGAAUAAGGAUCGGCUAACUCCGUGCCAGCAGCCGCGGUAAUACGGAGGAUCCGAGCGUUAUCCGGAUUUAUUGGGUUUAAAGGGAGCGUAGAUGGAUGUUUAAGUCAGUUGUGAAAGUUUGCGGCUCAACCGUAAAAUUGCAGUUGAUACUGGAUAUCUUGAGUGCAGUUGAGGCAGGCGGAAUUCGUGGUGUAGCGGUGAAAUGCUUAGAUAUCACGAAGAACUCCGAUUGCGAAGGCAGCCUGCUAAGCUGCAACUGACAUUGAGGCUCGAAAGUGUGGGUAUCAAACAGGAUUAGAUACCCUGGUAGUCCACACGGUAAACGAUGAAUACUCGCUGUUUGCGAUAUACAGCAAGCGGCCAAGCGAAAGCGUUAAGUAUUCCACCUGGGGAGUACGCCGGCAACGGUGAAACUCAAAGGAAUUGACGGGGGCCCGCACAAGCGGAGGAACAUGUGGUUUAAUUCGAUGAUACGCGAGGAACCUUACCCGGGCUUAAAUUGCAAAUGAAUAAUCUGGAAACAGGUUAGCCGCAAGGCAUUUGUGAAGGUGCUGCAUGGUUGUCGUCAGCUCGUGCCGUGAGGUGUCGGCUUAAGUGCCAUAACGAGCGCAACCCUUGUUGUCAGUUACUAACAGGUUCCGCUGAGGACUCUGACAAGACUGCCAUCGUAAGAUGUGAGGAAGGUGGGGAUGACGUCAAAUCAGCACGGCCCUUACGUCCGGGGCUACACACGUGUUACAAUGGGGGGUACAGAGGGCCGCUACCACGCGAGUGGAUGCCAAUCCCCAAAACCUCUCUCAGUUCGGACUGGAGUCUGCAACCCGACUCCACGAAGCUGGAUUCGCUAGUAAUCGCGCAUCAGCCACGGCGCGGUGAAUACGUUCCCGGGCCUUGUACACACCGCCCGUCAAGCCAUGGGAGCCGGGGGUACCUGAAGUGCGUAACCGCGAGGAGCGCCCUAGGGUAAAACUGGUGACUGGGGCU